CGCGCAGGCGGAUUAGCAAGUCAGAGGUGAAAUCCUACAGCUUAACUGUAGAACUGCCUUUGAAACUGUUAAUCUUGAGUACGGAAGAGAGAAGCGGAAUUCCAGGUGUAGCGGUGAAAUACGUAGAUAUCUGGAAGAACACCAGUUGCGAAGGCGGCUUCUUGGUCCGUUACUGAUGCUGAGGCGCGAAAGCGGUGGGGAGCAAACA
rnacentral:rRNA from 1 species